rnacentral:rRNA from 1 species
UACGGAGGGGGCUAGCGUUGUUCGGAAUUACUGGGCGUAAAGCGCGCGUAGGCGGCCCGGUAAGUCCGUUGUGAAAGUCAAAGGCUCAACCUUUGAACGCCGAUGGAUACUGCCGGGCUAGAGUCCGGAAGAGGCGAGUGGAAUUCCUGGUGUAGCGGUGAAAUGCGCAGAUAUCAGGAGGAACACCGAUGGCGAAGGCAGCUCGCUGGGACGGUACUGACGCUGAGGAGCGAAAGCGUGGGGAGCGAACAGG